UACGUAGGGGGCAAGCGUUGUCCGGAUUUAUUGGGCGUAAAGAGCGUGUAGGCGGCUAGAUAGGUCCGUUGUGAAAAACUCGAGGCUCAACCUCGAGACGUCGAUGGAAACCAUCUGGCUAGAGUCCGGAAGAGGAGAGUGGAAUUCCUGGUGUAGCGGUGAAAUGCGCAGAUAUCAGGAAGAACACCCGUGGCGAAGGCGGCCAGCUAGACCAGUUCUGACACUGAGGCGCGACAGCGUGGGGGGAGCAAACAGG
rnacentral:rRNA from 1 species